CUAGACCUAGCUGCUGUCGAAGUUCCAUCUAUAAAUGGAUAAGACUUCCGUAUUAAUGUAUACGAAUCGUUGAAGGUUCCAUGCCCCCAUAUCAUAUUUUAGUAAGAUAUGGGGGUAAGGUUAUUCCCCGCCAAUGUUUGUGAUCAUCGUUCAAAAUUAACGACGAGAUUUAUUAUCGUUUCUCGCAUGUCUCGCGAAAGUCAGAGUAGGCGCGAAUUCCCCCAAUUUGUGACCUACCAUACGAUCCGUUAUAUAAAUAGGGAAAUGUUCCUUUCCAGUAUGAAUAGCGAUUGUAUGGCCAAUCAUUGUGGGUAUAAUGGUAGAUGCCCGAGACCAAGUUACUAUCAUUUCUUUCUCCUCCCUCAUGUUGAGUUUUUUAAUUUUUCCCGAUAAAUGAUUGGCUACAAAAGGAUUUUUUUUUAGUGAACGUGUCACAGCUGAUUACUCCUUUUUUUUACAUUUUAAAGAUUGGCAUUCUAUGUCCAAUAGAAUAUCUCGAUCGAAGUAUGAAGGUAAGAAUAAAUACAAUAAUGAUGAAUGGAAAAAAGAGAAAAUCCUUUAGCUAGAUAAGGGGCGGAUGUAGCCAAGUGGAUCAAG
rnacentral:misc_RNA from 1 species